GAUAAUGAUGAUAGGAUGAUUAUGAUAGGAUGAAGUAAUUUUUCUCUCCUCUAAAGUCAAUUGACUUUGUUAACAGAAACAAGAAGAGAGAGAGAGAAAAAAAAGUAAAAUAAAAACCAACUUUUCUUCUUCUUCUCAUCUUUAACAUCCUCUUUUCCUGGCUUAUUGUUUAUUGCUUAUUCCAAUAAAUAUUCAUGGUAAGUUGAGGGAGAAUGAUGAAGAUGGAGAAGAGAGAGAAAGUGUAAUUGUUUUACUCACUUGGAGGCCUUGCAAUAAGGUUGAUGAGGAUGAGGAUGAAGAUGAAAGACGAUGGUAAAGGCGAACAAGAAGAAGAAGCAAAAAAAAGAUGUUUUCGUUGGCGUUUCCUGUCUGAGUUUUGAGUCUAUUUUUUACUCUUCUGUUCAGUCUUUUUCAACCUUUCAGCCUUUGCACAGUCAGUGCCAUGGACAGUGCAUGGGUCUGGUCUUUCCAAUGGUACAACAGUUAAUCGUUUUAAGGGUAAAACAAAUGUUUGCACUGACAACAAGUUAUUAUUCAACUUGUCUUGUGCAUCAUUUCAAUUAUACAUUUUGUAUUUACUAUUGACGAUCAUAAGACCAUAUCAAUCGACUUAAGUUUAACUUCAAGUUGACCGUAACUCACAGCCGGUAAUGUGUUAAAUGGCAGUCUGUUAAUUGUAAAGGCAAAAAUAAAUAAAUAUUUUUACUACAAGAAAUACGAUGAAAGUGAUGAAUCAAGGAUACAAGCUUUAAAUAAUUGGACUCAAUGAGCAUCCAGAUUUAUUGAAUUGCAUUUUCUGUGGUUGUUUGUGGUCAACAAGGCUCAUUACUUAACCUAAUAAAUGGCAAGUUUAAGCAAACUUUUGGCUUUCCUUGGUAAACAUUGCAAUCAUUUUUAAACUUCAACUGAAAGAAUGUAAAAUUUCCAACUUUUUUCAUUUUCCUUUUCAAGUUUUCCUCUGAAUUUUUCAAUGAAAAAAAUAGUUGAACAAAAGCACAAAAAGCUCUCUCAACGAUAACUGUAAAUAGACAUGAAAUGUUAGCAUUUUAUUUCAAAAUCAAUGAGUAACUUGUAAGUGGUUGGAUCAUCAUCUUUUUUCACUCAUCAACAGCUUAAUCAUGAUCGUUAAUUGUCAAAACACUUUGAUCAACUCGAUGAUUAUCAACACACAAGAACGGAAAACUGUCAACCCAAAAGUGUUUCAACUUUCCUUUCUGGUAACAUUGAUCCAGAAAUGAGGGAAAAGUGAAAAUUAAACUUAAAUCAUAAUCACAAUUAAAAUGAUCAACUUUUAAUUUUGUGAUUCUCAAGAGCCUCUCAGCACAAUCAGAUACAUUGGUACACAAGUUUGUCUUGAUUGUUCACCUUCUCAUUGUUUUACCAUCUUACCUCCCACUUUCACCCAACUUAUCAUUCAUUGAUCAACAAGCGAUUAUUCAACAUUUACCUUGUUUUUUCUUCUUCUUCAGAUUCAAUUGAUUUUCUAUUGUAAUGAAGAAGAAGAAAAAGUCUUACAAUGAUCAUCUUAAGAUUCAUAAGGAAUAACAAUGGCAACUUGAGAUUUAUCAUUAAAAAAAACAGGAGAAAACAAAAAACAACAAAUGCACCUUGAAAGGUGAUGAGACUGAUUAGUGUUUGAUGGGAAAAGUGUUUCAAUUACAUUGAGAAAUUGAUAUUCUGUUAUUAUGAUUGAGGAUCCAUUGAUUGUAAAUUAAAAUGUUUAAAGCUGACAGUUUUACAAUUCACCAAAUGUCCAAUAAAUCAUCAUUAAGAUUAAUCUUGUAAUAAUUAAUAUGGAAAGUUGGACAAACGAUGAAAAUGUUUCAACAAUAACAUUUAUCAUCUAAUCGUUUAUCAUCCCGUUAAAGGUCUGUUCACUUGAUCAUCUUUUGCCUUUCUUGGUCAGCCUUAAUUAAUCAAUCACUGGUAAUAAGGUGAAUGAUUGAGAGGCCUUUGAUGGAUUGUAUCAAUUUAAAUAUUAGAGUCGGCAAUUAAAUGGCCUCACAAAUGCCAUCAUCUUUUGCUCGUCUUUGCCACUAACAAGAUGAUGAUGUGAACCCAUCUUGCAAACCCGCAUCACCUACAAAUCAUCAAUUUUACAAUUAACUAUGUUAACUACAAUUAUCAAUGUUAUCAGUCAUGUUACGUCUUUUCCUUUUUUUUCAUGAUCAUUUUCACUUGAACCUUUAUCAAUGUUGCCAAAAAUGAACACAAAUCUUCUUCUCACGAAAUAAUAACAUUAAAGUAUCUUUUUCUCAUCA